UACGUAGGGUGCAAGCGUUGUCCGGAAUUACUGGGCGUAAAGCGCGCGUAGGCGGCUUUGUAAGUUAGAGGUGAAAGCCCGGAGCUCAACUCCGGAACUGCCUUUAAGACUGCAUCGCUUGAAUCCGGGAGAGGUGAGUGGAAUUCCGAGUGUAGAGGUGAAAUUCGUAGAUAUUCGGAAGAACACCAGUGGCGAAGGCGGCUCACUGGACCGGUAUUGACGCUGAGGUGCGAAAGCGUGGGGAGCAAACAGG
rnacentral:rRNA from 1 species